CGUUUGUUUGUCUUUACUCUCUUCAGGACAAGCUCCCACAUCGGCCAAUGAGCCAUCUUACUUCCAGUACAUAUACUCCGCCAUGGAAGCUCUUAUCGUCCCUUCGGGGACAUCCGAUAAAAUUGGAACGAUAGGAUGACACGCACAAAUCGAGAAAUGGUCCAAAUUUUUUUUGCCUGUGAAAAUUCGUUUGUAUAGUCCAGUACUCCAGUCUUCCCACCACUCCCUUUCUUAAUUUCAUGCUUGAAUCCAAUCAUGAUUGACAAUGAAGUCAUAAAGGUUCCCACGCUUUUGCCAAGUUGGACACCAGAGAUAUGUGUUUGCACCUGAAGUUGUUUCCUUUUCAGAAAGAAAAGCUGGUGAGGGUAUCUUCUUAUGGUUCCAAUCAGUCUCACAGGUUGCACAUUUUUGGAACUCUCCCAGUAUAAGAAUAAUAUGUUGGUUUCCCCUGAAAUGAUGAUGAUGAUGGCCAUUGAACUGGGAAUGCUGAAUUCAUUCAUGGCAAAUAUGAGAGAUGAUGGAGAACCAACCUCAUACAAAAGAGAUUGCUUUGGAGAUUGGUGUCUCAAUUUUGUCUUCCCUUUUGAAGCAAAUGUUAAUUAGUUAGAACUAUAUUUAUUGAAAAUAAAUAGGUCUUAGAAAAUAAUGUUAUAAUGUUGACAAUCCCCUUUUAUUUAUUUAUUUAUUUAUUAUUGUACCCAAACUGUAACUUGGGAGAGAUAUAUCAGAUAUUCUUGAUGUAGUAAUCUUGUUCAGUCUUUCAACUU